rnacentral:rRNA from 1 species
UACGUAGGAUCCAAGCGUUGUCCGGAUUUACUGGGUGUAAAGGGUGCGCAGGCGGACUGGUUAGUCUGGGGUGAAAUCUCAUCGCUCAACGGUGAAACUGCCUUAGAUACUGCCAGUCUUGAAUUAGGGAGAGGUUCGUGGAAUUCCGAGUGUAGCAGCGAAAUGUGUAGAUAUUCGGAAGAACACCAGUGGCGAAGGCAGCGAACUGGCCCUUAAUUGACGCUCAGGCACGAAAGCAUGGGGAUCAAACAGG